rnacentral:rRNA from 1 species
UACGUAGGGUGCAAGCGUUGUCCGGAAUUAUUGGGCGUAAAGAGCUCGUAGGCGGUCUGUCGCGUCUGCUGUGAAAACUCAGGGCUUAACCCUGAGCUUGCAGUGGGUACGGGCAGACUAGAGUGCGGUAGGGGAGACUGGAAUUCCUGGUGUAGCGGUGGAAUGCGCAGAUAUCAGGAGGAACACCGAUGGCGAAGGCAGGUCUCUGGGCCAUUACUGACACUGAGAAGCGAAAGCAUGGGGAGCGAACAGG